rnacentral:lncRNA from 1 species
GAGCACAAGGAAGACAUUAAGUAAACAGCAUGUAAAUGCAUGAGAUUUAGGAAGAACCUUGCUUUUAACAUCCGAGUUCUUUAAAAAAAAAAAAAAAUACAGCAGGAUGUCACAUUGGCCAUCACAAUAUUAAGUCAGUGCAAUGAAUCCAGCCUCAUACUGAAGAACUGACUCAGAAAGAAGCACUCUAUCAUCUCCUGACAAUGAAACAGACCAUAUUUGGGGGACACUAAGCAGGAAAAAUCCAUUCCAAGCUGCAAGCAUAAUAUUGAAAACAAUGUCCACUAUCUACAAAGAAAGUCUUCCAUUAAUUGAAAGUG